rnacentral:rRNA from 1 species
UACGAAGGGGGCUAGCGUUGCUCGGAAUCACUGGGCGUAAAGGGUGCGUAGGCGGAUUUCUAAGUCUGGGGUGAAAGCCUGAGGCUCAACCUCAGAAUUGCCUUUGAUACUGGAAGUCUUGAGACCGGAAGAGGUAAGUGGAACUGCGAGUGUAGAGGUGAAAUUCGUAGAUAUUCGCAAGAACACCAGUGGCGAAGGCGGCUUACUGGUCCGGUUCUGACGCUGAGGCACGAAAGCGUGGGGAGCAAACAGG